rnacentral:rRNA from 1 species
UGGGGGAUAUUGCACAAUGGGCGAAAGCCUGAUGCAGCGACGCCGCGUGGGGGAUGAAGGCCUUCGGGUUGUAAACUUCUUUUGCUCUGAACAAGGCGCACCAUGGGGUGUGUUGAGUGUAGGGGUUGAUUAGCGCCGGCUAACUACGUGCCAGCAGCCGCGGUAAUACGUAGGGCGCGAGCGUUGUCCGGAAUUAUUGGGCGUAAAGGGCUUGUAGGUGGCUGGUUGCGUCUGUCGUGAAAGCUCAUGGCUUAACUGUGUGUUUGCUGUGGGUACGGGCUGGCUUGAGUGCAGUAGGGGAGGCUGGAAUUCCUGGUGUAGCGGUGGAAUGCGCAGAUAUCAGGAGGAAUACCGGUGGCGAAGGCGGGUCUCUGGGCUGUUACUGACACUGAGGAGCGAAAGCAUGGGGAGCGAACAGG